AUAUUCAAAGACAUUCUGACGUUCCAGUGACUUCAAAUGAAGCUUCCAAACUUUUUUAGACAGGACCCUUUGGAACAUCAAGAGCAUCACUGGCAAUUGUGGGAAGAAGGGAUAAUGUGACACUCUGCAUUUUUCAUCCUAAAUUAGACAAGUUUUAUAUCUCUGAUACAUGCAAGCCUGCUGACCGGACUGAUAUCAAUCAUAAUGCUGCAGACACUUUUAUGGAAGAGAUCUUCAGGGAGGAGGUAGAGAGAGAACAAGACUCAGACUGAACUUCUGCAUCUAGAACAGGCAUGAUUUAUGUGCUAUGAAAAGCCACGUGAAUAAAACUAUCCAAAUGGGUAUAAAAGAAUUCAGAUCCAAAACAAUAUUUUGUGACAGAAUGGAUGUGGAGAGCAGAGCAUGGAGUUGAAGAAAUCUAAUAUAUGGAUACGCCAAAGGAAAUUUCAAGAUCCAAUUAAGGAGCAGUUGGAAAUGGCGAUUCACCUUUGUGGAGCAAAUCUAUCAAUAAAACAGCACAAUUAAAGCAGCACAGAGCACUUCACUAGAAAUGAACCAUGACUGAAACCAGCUCCCCAGAGUGAUGCUGCAGUUCACAAAUGUGUUCGUGUUAUGAUGGUUGUGGGGAAUAGUCCAGGAAUCUCUUAAGAAAAGAAGAAAAGCACAUUUACAAGACAAAAAACCACAUUCCUCAUCAGAAUGUGACAUCAGCAGAUUCGGCAACAAGUGAGGAUUUUUGGAGAGCUGUUGCUUCGACAGUGUUUCUAUGGCUUGCUUGAAUAUUGUAGCUGCUAACUAAAGGUCUUAGUGGCCCUGGCGUCAACUCCAAAUUUUUCAUAGGGUAUUCCUCUCUCCAAACUGAAGUACUGAUCUUCCUAAAUGAUUUGGAAUUCCUUAGUGCUACACAUUUAUUUAGGCAGUUGCCCUGAAAAGUUUCAGACUGUGAUUUAUCUGGCUGGCUCUGCUGAGGCAGAAAACACCUGCUCUGCUCCUGAGUGCUGCAGCCUUCUGGCCUGUCUGGCAAAAAAACUGCUGCUGAAAUCCAGUGCUCUAAAAUUGCAUUGCAACCCAUUUGCUGUGCUAAGAGCUUUGAACGUAAAUAAUUAUUUGUAAUUAAGCACUGUAUUUCACUAUCCUAAGAGUCCUUAAAUCAGCACAGAUUUCUUCUAGGUUGAAUGCAAGACAAUUGCAAUCGUUUCUUCUUCUCCAGAUAUGUAACUAUGAAACAGCUUGUUAACCUUUUUUUCAAUCUGGGGAAAUAAAAUAUAUGUAUGUAUAUAUAUGCAUUACAUUACAGCAUACCUUGUCUCAGAAAGCUAGCGUGACAUUACACCCCAGCUAAAAAAAGUAGAGGUAAUUUUAAAUAAAUGGUCAUUGUAAGUUAAA